ACAGUACUGACGCUGAGAUGCGAAAGCGUGGGGAGCAAACAGGAUUAGAUACCUGGUAGUCACGCUGUAAACGAUGUCGAUUUGGAGUUUGGGGGCAUGUCCCUUGGGCUCCGGAGCUAACGCGUUAAAUCGACCGCUGGGGAGUACGGCCGCAAGGUUAAAACUCAAAUGAAUUGACGGGGGCCCGCACAAGCGGUGGAGCAUGUGGUUUAAUUCGAUGCAACGCGAAGAACCUUACCUGGUCUUGACAUCCAUAGAAUCUUUCAGAGAUGAGAGAGUGCCUUCGGGAGCUAUGAGACAGGUGCUGCAUGGCUGUCGUCAGCUCGUGUUGUGAAAUGUUGGGUUAAGUCCCGCAACGAGCGCAACCCUUAUCCUUUGUUGCCAGCGGUUCGGCCGGGAACUCAAAGGAGACUGCCGUUGAUAAAGCGGAGGAAGGUGGGGACGACGUCAAGUCAUCAUGGCCCUUACGACCAGGGCUACACACGUGCUACAAUGGCGUAUACAAAGGGAAGCGAAGGAGCGAUCUGGAGCGGACCUCCUAAAGUACGUCUAAGUCCGGAUUGGAGUCUGCAACUCGACUCCAUGAAGUCGGAAUCGCUAGUAAUCGUGAAUCAGAAUGUCACGGUGAAUACGUUCCCGGGCCUUGUACACACCGCCCGUCACACCAUGGGAGUGGGUUGCACCAGAAGUAGAUAGCUUAACCGAAAGGGGGGCGUUUACCACGGUGUGAUUCAUGACUGGGGUGAAGUCGUAACAAGGUAACCAAGGGCGAAUUCUG
rnacentral:rRNA from 1 species